rnacentral:tRNA from 1 species
GGAUUGUGGCUCAGUGGCAGAGCGCUUGCCUAGCAUGCAUGAUGCACUGGGUUUGAUCCCUGACACCA